UGAUAGCGUGGAAACGGAGGUUGCUACGCAUAGCGUAGGUUAUUUCGUGGAGCGAAUGUCAAGUUCAGAGAAACUGGCGACAA
rnacentral:ncRNA from 1 species